AAACGUAGGAGGCGAGCGUUAUCCGGAUUUAUUGGGCGUAAAGGGCAAGUAGGCGGUAGGCAAAGUUGGUUGUGACAUCUCCCGGCUCAACUGGGAGGGUGCGGCCAAAACUAGCAUACUAGAGGGCAGAAGAGGGAAGUGGAAUUCCUGGUGUAGCGGUGGAAUGCUCAGAUACCAGGAGGAACACCAGUGGCGAAGGCGGCUUCCUGGUCUGCACCUGACGCUGAGAGGCGAAAGCUAGGGGAGCGAACGGGCUUAGAUACCCCGGUAGUCCUAGCCGUAAACGUUGGAUACUGGGUAUUUGGGAGGUAAGACUUCUGAGUGCCGAAGCAAACGCGUUAAGUAUCCCGCCUGGGGACUACGGCCGCAAGGUUAAA
rnacentral:rRNA from 1 species